rnacentral:tRNA from 1 species
CGAACGGCUGUUAACCGUUAGGUCCUUGGUUCGAUCCCAAGCGGAAGCG